UGUGUUGCAUUUACAGAGGGAGCCUAACCUGUCAGCUGUGUUGUCGAUGCCUCGAGAGAACAAAGGAAGUGACUCAGAGCUUGCCGUAAAGCGCAGUAUCUCUGGCCGAU